rnacentral:misc_RNA from 1 species
AAGUCGUAACAAGGUUUCCGUAGGUGAACCUGCGGAAGGAUCAUUAUCACGUAUCCACGUAUAAACCAUUGUGAACCGUUUUCCACCUCCGCUGGCGCAGCAAGGCAGCAUUUUAUCACUGGCCGUUGUGAAUGACGUGCUGUGGUAAUUCAAAAAUGCUAGUCAACCCCGGUUGACUACGUUUUGAUGAAGAUAAACUAGUUUUCGGACACAACAGUCCAAUCUUACCACCUUCAUAAUGCUCGCUUACUGCCGCUACGGAGCGUAUUCACUACAUUAACCAUUUUAACCAAUCUUUAUAACUUUUAUGAACUAACUUUAUUUUAUACUCUUCGGAGAUAAAAUUCAUUACGAAACAAAGAACAACUCUUAGCAACGGAUAUCUUGGUUCUC